UGGCUCAGGAUGAACGCUAGCGACAGGCUUAACACAUGCAAGUCGAGGGGCAGCAUAGAAGUAGCAAUACUUGGUGGCGACCGGCGCACGGGUGAGUAACGCGUAUGCAACCUACCUAUCAGAGGGGGAUAACCCGGCGAAAGUCGGACUAAUACCGCAUAAAACAGGGGCACCGCAUGGUGAUAUUUGUUAAAGAUUAAUUGCUGAUAGAUGGGCAUGCGUUCCAUUAGGUAGUUGGUGAGGUAAUGGCUCACCAAGCCGACGAUGGAUAGGGGAACUGAGAGGUUGGUCCCCCACACUGGUACUGAGACACGGACCAGGCUCCUACGGGAGGCAGCAGUGAGGAAUAUUGGUCAAUGGGCGAGAGCCUGAACCAGCCAAGUCGCCGUGAAGGAAGAAGGAUCUAUGGUUCGUAAACUUCCUUUGCAGGGGAAUAAAGUGGAGGACGUGUCCUCUUUUGUAUGUACCCUGAGAAUAAGGAUCGGCUAACUCCGUGCCAGCCGCGGC
rnacentral:rRNA from 1 species